GACGAACGCUGGCGGCGUGCUUAACACAUGCAAGUCGAACGGAAAGGCCUUUUCGGAGGUACUCGAGUGGCGAACGGGUGAGUAACACGUGGGUGAUCUACCCUGCACUCUGGGAUAAGCCUGGGAAACUGGGUCUAAUACCGGAUAGGACCGCACUUUAGUGUGUGUGGUGGAAAGUUUUUUCGGUGUAGGAUGAGCCCGCGGCCUAUCAGCUUGUUGGUGGGGUAAUGGCCUACCAAGGCGGCGACGGGUAGCCGGACUGAGAGGUUGGUCGGCCACAUUGGGACUGAGAUACGGCCCAGACUCCUACGGGAGGCAGCAGUGGGGAAUAUUGCACAAUGGGCGCAAGCCUGAUGCAGCGACGCCGCGUGGGGGAUGACGGCCUUCGGGUUGUAAACUCCUUUCGCCAGGGACGAAGCGUUUUGUGACGGUACCUGGAGAAGAAGCACCGGCUAACUACGUG
rnacentral:rRNA from 1 species